CUAUUUUCUUUUCUGUUGCUAUUUUGUUAUUUUCCUUUUCUCUUUCUAUUUGCUGCUUGUUUGUUGCGUCUGUUGCAGGUGCAACUGGAGUGGACGCAAGUGCAGAGACGUCGUUGAUGCGCGCGGAGAACCCCUGGUUUCGGCCACAAUGCAAACAGUUUCAGAAACCCUUAGGGUUUCUGGAAACUUGAAUUUGGGCCUCCAAUAUUGGGCUAGGGUUGUUUGGAUUUUAGUGGGUUAUUUUGGGUAUUGGGUUUAUUCGGGUUUUUCUAGGCUGCUUAGGUAUUUCGGGUUUUGUAAUCGGGUUUGGGUUUAGGGUCUAUUUCGGGUUUGGACCUUAAUUGUUUGGGUUAAGUUUUGGACUAUUGGACUUUUAAUUUUGAUUUUGUUUUAUUUAGUUUUUAUAUAUGUAUAUGUAUAUAUAUAUAUAUAUAUAUAUAUAUAUAUAUUAUUUUUUGUGAUGUAUAUGGGCCGGGCAUAAAUUGGGUAUUACAUAUAUGUUUAAUUGGCUUGAAUCAUGAAAGUACCACUGAGCU
rnacentral:lncRNA from 1 species